rnacentral:rRNA from 1 species
UACAGAGGUCUCAAGCGUUGUUCGGAUUCAUUGGGCGUAAAGGGUGCGUAGGUGGCGCCGUAAGUCAGGUGUGAAAUUUCGGAGCUUAACUCCGAAACUGCAUUUGAUACUGCGGUGCUUGAGGACUGGAGAGGAGACUGGAAUUCACGGUGUAGCAGUGAAAUGCGUAGAUAUCGUGAGGAAGACCAGUGGCGAAGGCGGGUCUCUGGACAGCUCCUGACGCUGAGGCACGAAGGUCAGGGGAGCAAACGGG